rnacentral:lncRNA from 1 species
UCUUGUCUUGAUGCAUGGCCAGUGUAUGGAAGGACGGCAACCGGCAUGUCGGGUGUGUUCAGGGUCUGUGACUGGUUCCUAUUUGGUUAAACAACAUGGUGACUCCACUGUGGAACCAGCCGUAUGAGGACCAGCUAUCCACCAAACAGACCAACACCAGGGAGUUUCUGAGGAAUUUAUCCAAGAUGCUGCAACGGAACAUUGGGGAGAUGUCUCCAUGGCUGAAGUAACAAAGGAAGAACCACAGUGGGAUGGAAUGUGAGUUGCAGCCAAUUAAGCCAUCGCCAGUAUUAGAGAGUUAUCGCAACAAGUGUGAGUUUACCUUCGGCAAGAGUGUAGAUGGCAUCGAUAACACUGUUGGUUUCCGGCUUGGCGCUUACAAAGGU